CAAUAGCGUAUAUUAAAGUUGUUGCAGUUAAAAAGCUCGUAGUUGGAUUUCGGGGCAGCCUGGCUGGUCCGCCGCAAGGCGAGUACUGGUCAGCCGCCCUUCCUCUCGAAAGCCCCGACUGCUCUUCGUUGCAGUGGUCGGGUAGUUCGGGACGUUUACUUUGAAAAAAUUAGAGUGUUCAAGGCAGGCCUACGCCUGAAUACAUUAGCAUGGAAUAAUGGAAGAGGACCUCGGUCCUAUUUUGUUGGUUUCCAGGGCCGAAGUAAUGAUUAAGAGGGACAGUUGGGGGCAUUCGUAUUUAAUUGUCAGAGGUGAAAUUCUCGGAUUUAUGAAAGACGAACAACUGCGAAAGCAUUUGCCAAGGAUGUUUUCAUUAA
rnacentral:rRNA from 1 species